UACAGAGGUCUCAAGCGUUGUUCAGAUUCAUUGGGCGUAAAGGGUGCGUAGGUGGCGGGGUAAGUCAGGUGUGAAAUCUCGGGGCUCAACCCCGAAACUGCACUUGAUACUGCCUUGCUCGAGUACUGGAGAGGAGAUUGGAAUUUACGGUGUAGCAGUGAAAUGCGUAGAUAUCGUAAGGAAGACCAGUGGCGAAGGCGAAUCUCUGGACAGUUACUGACACUGAGGCACGAAGGCCAGGGGAGCAAACGGG
rnacentral:rRNA from 1 species